rnacentral:tRNA from 1 species
GGACCAUUAGCUCAGUGGAUAGAGUCGCAGGCUUCGAACCUGUUGGUCGGGGGUUCGAAUCCCUCAUGGUUCA